rnacentral:rRNA from 1 species
UGGGGAAUUUUGGACAAUGGGGGCAACCCUGAUCCAGCCAUCCCGCGUGUGCGAUGAAGGCCUUCGGGUUGUAAAGCACUUUUGGCAGGGAAGAAACAGCCUGGGCUAAUAUCCCGGGCGACUGACGGUACCUGCAGAAGAAGCACCGGCUAACUACGUGCCAGCAGCCGCGGUAAUACGUAGGGUGCGAGCGUUAAUCGGAAUUACUGGGCGUAAAGCGUGCGCAGGCGGUUUUGUAAGACAGAUGUGAAAUCCCCGGGCUUAACCUGGGAACUGCGUUUGUGACUGCAAGGCUGGAGUACGGCAGAGGGGGGUGGAAUUCCACGUGUAGCAGUGAAAUGCGUAGAGAUGUGGAGGAACACCGAUGGCGAAGGCAGCCCCCUGGGCCUGUACUGACGCUCAUGCACGAAAGCGUGGGGAGCAAACA